rnacentral:rRNA from 1 species
UACGUAGGCAGCGAGCGUUGUUCGGAGUUACUGGGCGUAAAGGGUGUGUAGGCGGUUGUUUAAGUUUGGUGUGAAAUCUCCCGGCUCAACUGGGAGGGUGCGCCGAAUACUGAAUGACUUCGAGUGCGGAGAGGAGAGUGGAAUUCCUGGUGUAGCGGUGAAAUGCGUAGAUAUCAGGAGGAACACCGGUGGUGUAGACGGCUCUCUGGACCGUAACUGACGCUGAGACACGAAAGCGUGGGUAGCAAACAGG